UGCCAGCAGCCGCGGUAAUACGGAGGGGGUUAGCGUUGUUCGGAAUUACUGGGCGUAAAGCGCGCGCAGGCGGCCAGGUAAGUCGAAUGUGAAAGCCCCCGGCUCAACUGGGGAGGGUCGUUCGAUACUGCUUGGCUUGAAGAUAGGAGAGGGAAGUGGAAUUUCAGGUGUAGUGGUGAAAUGCGUAGAUAUCUGAAGGAACACCAGUGGCGAAGGCGACUUUCUGGCCUAUUCUUGACGCUGAGGCGCGAAAGCUAGGGGAGCGAACGGGAUUAGAUA
rnacentral:rRNA from 1 species